AUGGGGUUGAGGGACAAGAAGAGGAACCAGAGGCGUGUGCUCUCGCGGCGCUCCGCCGGCCCCCGGACCGGCGAGGGCAAGGAUUUCCUGCCGCUGGAGGGGAAAGAGCAGAGGAUCCGGGAGAAGCAGCAGCCCGAGGAGCCGGAGAACACGGCCACCGUCCUGUACAUCGGCCACAUCCCCCACGGCUUCUACGAGGACCAGAUGCAAGGUUUCUUUCAGCAGUUUGGGGCUGUUAAGAGGGUCAGGAUUGCCCGGAACCGCAAGACAGGAAAGUCCAAGCAUUAUGGUUUCAUUGAGUUUGAGAACCCUGAGAUUCCUGGCAUGUUCUUGGUAUAUCAGGUGGCGAAGAUUGUAGCUGAUGAGAUGAAUAACUACCUCUUGUUUGAGCACACUCUGCAAAUUGCGCCUGUCCCACUGGAGAAAGUUCAUGCCAAAUUAUGGAAAGGUGUGCGGAAGGGAUUUGUACCAGUUGACCGGGUAGCAAUUGAACGGAAUAAGCUUAGUAAGGAUAAAACAGUAGAAGAGCAUAAGAGGAUGCUUGAAGGAAUUGUAAAGCGGGAUGAGAAUCGUCGCAAAAGAAUCAAGGCUGCUGGCAUCGAUUAUGAGUGUCCACCCCUUAUUGGGAGCGUUCAGCCUUCAGCUAAGAAGAUCAAGUUUGAUGAGGAUUAG
rnacentral:rRNA from 1 species